AUUGAACGCUGGCGGCAGGCCUAACACAUGCAAGUCGAACGGUAACAGGAAGCAGCUUGCUGCUUUGCUGACGAGUGGCGGACGGGUGAGUAAUGUCUGGGAAACUGCCUGAUGGAGGGGGAUAACUACUGGAAACGGUAGCUAAUACCGCAUAACGUCGCAAGACCAAAGAGGGGGACCUUCGGGCCUCUUGCCAUCGGAUGUGCCCAGAUGGGAUUAGCUAGUAGGUGGGGUAACGGCUCACCUAGGCGACGAUCCCUCGCUGGUCUGAGAGGAUGACCAGCCACACUGGAACUGAGACACGGUCCAGACUCCUACGGGAGGCAGCAGUGGGGAAUAUUGCACAAUGGGCGCAAGCCUGAUGCAGCCAUGCCGCGUGUAUGAAGAAGGCCUUCGGGUUGUAAAGUACUUUCAGCGGGGAGGAAGGGAGUAAAGUUAAUACCUUUGCUCAUUGACGUUACCCGAAGAAGAAGCACCGGCUAACUCCGUG
rnacentral:rRNA from 1 species